GUAGGUCCCGAGCGUUGUCCGGAUUUAUUGGGCGUAAAGCGAGCGCAGGCGGUUAGAUAAGUCUGAAGUUAAAGGCUGUGGCUUAACCAUAGUACGCUUUGGAAACUGUUUAACUUGAGUGCAGAAGGGGAGAGUGGAAUUCCAUGUGUAGCGGUGAAAUGCGUAGAUAUAUGGAGGAACACCGGUGGCGAAAGCGGCUCUCUGGCUUGUAACUGACGCUGAGGCUCGAAAGCGUGGGGAGCAAACAGGAUUAGAUACCCUGGUAGUCCACGCCGUAAACGAUGAGUGCUAGGUGUUAGACCCUUUCCGGGGUUUAGUGCCGCAGCUAACGCAUUAAGCACUCCGCCUGGGGAGUACGACCGCAAGGUUG
rnacentral:rRNA from 1 species